rnacentral:lncRNA from 1 species
CAUCUUAGAUCUUCAGACUUCGUUAAAAGAAUCAGCUAAUUCUAUUUAAAAUAUCAAAUCAUCAUCAAUUUCUAUUCCAUAAAUAUAAUAAGAUUAAAUCAUAAGGAAAGAGGACUGUUGUCCGGAUGUGUCGGACCAUCCAGAUACCAGAGCAAUUCAGAGUCUCUGAUCUGAGGGUCAGAUUUAAAUGACUUGAUCAAAAAAUUAUGAAGCACAGAUUGAAUUAAGAUCAAGAUCAAUCAAUAGGGUUCAUUAAUAAUGAAUUUGAAAGAUAUUUGAUAUGAUCAAAUGAGGUUGACAUACAGCACGGAUAUCAAAGCAACUUUGGAUCAUCUUGUUAGAGUCAACAUGAGCCCCUAAAAGAUGAAGGCAUGACUUGGUACAGGAUUCAUAGACCUUCUUAGAGAGAGAAAGUCAAUCAUGAGAGAGAAAGUAGAGAGAGAAAGUGG